rnacentral:rRNA from 1 species
UAGCUAGUUGGUGAGGUAACGGCCCACCAAGGCGACGAUCGGUAGCCGGACUGAGAGGUUGAACGGCCACAUUGGGACUGAGACACGGCCCAGACUCCUACGGGAGGCAGCAGUGGGGAAUAUUGCACAAUGGGGGAAACCCUGAUGCAGCGACGCCGCGUGGAGGAAGAAGGUCUUCGGAUUGUAAACUCCUGUUGUUGAGGAAGAUAAUGACGGUACUCAACAAGGAAGUGACGGCUAACUACGUGCCAGCAGCCGCGGUAAAACGUAGGUCACAAGCGUUGUCCGGAAUUACUGGGUGUAAAGGGAGCGCAGGCGGGAAGACAAGUUGGAAGUGAAAUCCAUGGGCUCAACCCAUGAACUGCUUUCAAAACUGUUUUUCUUGAGUAGUGCAGAGGUAGGCGGAAUUCCCGGUGUAGCGGUGGAAUGCGUAGAUAUCGGGAGGAACACCAGUGGCGAAGGCGGCCUACUGGGCACCAACUGACGCUGAGGCUCGAAAGUGUGGGUAGCAAACAGGAUUAGAUACCCUGGUAGUCCACACUGUAAACGAUGAUUACUAGGUGUUGGAGGAUUGACCCCUUCAGUGCCGCAGUUAACACAAUAAGUAAUCCACCUGGGGAGUACGACCGCAAGGUUGAAACUCAAAGGAAUUGACGGGGGCCCGCACAAGCAGUGGAGUAUGUGGUUUAAUUCGACGCAACGCGAAGAACCUUACCAAGUCUUGACAUCCCUUGACGAUGCUGGAAACAGUAUUUCUCUUCGGAGCAAGGAGACAGGUGGUGCAUGGUUGUCGUCAGCUCGUGUCGUGAGAUGUUGGGUUAAGUCCCGCAACGAGCGCAACCCUUAUGGUCAGUUACUACGCAAGAGGACUCUGGCCAGACUGCCGUUGACAAAACGGAGGAAGGUGGGGAUGACGUCAAAUCAUCAUGCCCUUUAUGACUUGGGCUACACACGUACUACAAUGGCGUUAAACAAAGAGAAGCAAGACCGCGAGGUGGAGCAAAACUCAGAAACAACGUCCCAGUUCGGACUGCAGGCUGCAACUCGCCUGCACGAAGUCGGAAUUGCUAGUAAUCGCAGAUCAGCAUGCUGCGGUGAAUACGUUCCCGGGCCUUGUACACACCGCCCGUCACACCAUGAGAGCCGGGGGGACCCGAAGUCGGUAGUCUAACCGCAAGGAGGACGCCGCCGAAGGUAAAACUGGUGAUUGGGGUGAAGUCGUAACAAGGUAGCCGUAGGAGAACCUGCGGCUG